AGUGAACGCUGGCGGCGUACUUAACACAUGCAAGUCGAACGAGAACGGAUUAUAGCUUGCUAUAAUUGUCAGCUAAGUGGCGCACGGGUGAGUAAUGUAUAGGUAAUAUGCCUCUUACUAAGGGAUAACAAAUGGAAACGUUUGCUAAUACCUUAUACUCCUUAUUAACAGAAGUUAAUAAGGGAAAGAUUUAUUGGUAAGAGAUUAGCCUGUAUUGUAUCAGUUAGUUGGUGGGGUAAUGGCUUACCAAGACUAUGACACAUAACUGGUUUGAGAGGAUGAUCAGUCACACUGGAACUGAGACACGGUCCAGACUCCUACGGGAGGCAGCAGUGGGGAAUAUUGCACAAUGGACGAAAGUCUGAUGCAGCAACGCCGCGUGGAGGAUGACACAUUUCGGUGCGUAAACUCCUUUUAUAUGAGAAGAUAUGACGGUAUUAUAUGAAUAAGCACCGGCUAACUCCGUGCCAGCCGCCGCGGUAA
rnacentral:rRNA from 1 species